rnacentral:misc_RNA from 1 species
UUUUGCAAGAAUUCAAUUCAUUUGGAACAAGUAUAAGACAUUCUAUUAUCGUGUGUCAAAUUAUCAUAUGAUCGAUUAGGCAUUACUGUCACUAAUAGGACACAAAGAACCGGAAUCUAACUAAACUAAUACAAAAUUAUAUUUAGGUCUUGGAAGAGCAUACUUGAGGAUCAACUAUCCAACCAUGAUAUAAAGGGAUGUCGAGCAAAUCAAAUAUGGCACAUUCUGGGGUGAACUCGAAAUCGUCUAUCCUGCACAUAUCAUGCAUAUAUUUAUAAAAAAAGUAAGAAACAAGCACUAGCACAUGUGCACACAGACACAGAGGAAGGGAAAGUACAACCUCCUAAACUUUAUA